rnacentral:rRNA from 1 species
CCUACGGGACGCAGCAGUGGGGAAUAUUGCACAAUGGGGGAAACCCUGAUGCAGCGACGCCGCGUGAGUGAAGAAGUAUUUCGGUAUGUAAAGCUCUAUCAGCAGGGAAGAAAAAAGACGGUACCUGACUAAGAAGCCCCGGCUAACUACGUGCCAGCAGCCGCGGUAAUACGUAGGGGGCAAGCGUUAUCCGGAUUUACUGGGUGUAAAGGGAGCGUAGACGGUGCGUCAAGUCUGAAGUGAAAGCCCGGGGCUU